AUUGAACGCUGGCGGCAGGCCUAACACAUGCAAGUCGAACGGAAGAACGGGGCUUGCUCCUGGAUUCAGCGGCAGUCGGGUGAGUAAUGCGUAGGAAUCUGACUCGUAGUGGGGGCUAACGUCAGGAAACGGGCGCUAAUACUGCAUCCGUCUUGCGGGAGCAAGUGAGGGAUCUUCGUACCUCGCGCUAUCAUGUUAGCAUAUGUCGGAUUAGCUAGUUGGUGGGGUAAGGGCCUACCAAGGCGACGAUCCGUAACUGGUCUGAGAGGAUGAUCAGUCACACUGGAACUGAGACACGGUCCAGACUCCUACGGGAGGCAGCAGUGGGGAAUAUUGGACAAAGGGCGCAAGCCUGAUCCAGCCAUGCCGCGUGGGUGAAGAAGGUCUUCGGGUUGUAAAGCACUUUUAUUUGGGAGGAAGUGCAUUAAGCUAAUACCGUGGGGUUAUGACGGUACCAAAAGAAUAAGCACCGGCUAACUUCGUG
rnacentral:rRNA from 1 species